rnacentral:lncRNA from 1 species
CGGCAUAUUCGUGAAGCUAAUGCAAUCAUCCUAUAGCGUAAUCAUGAUGCAUGAAACAUGAUAAAACAUUUAAUUUAAAAGAUUAAGUUUAGUUCCACUCACCUCUGGCUGACUCUGACAACACCGAAGCAGCUCACCUCACUGCUGGGGUCCUCGGUUCCUCGGGUCCGAACCUACACAGGUGGACUCAAAUGAGGAACCAAACAUACUUGAACAUAACUCUAAAAUACUCCCCAAAAACCCCCUAAAACAUCAUGAACCAAUCAUACAAAAACAUGCAAAGAAGGCCUGGACAGGGCACUUUCGGCGGCAGGUUCGGCGGCCGAAAGUCCCUCCAGAGCCGAAAGUCAGGCAGGUUCGGCGGCACCUUCGGCGGCCGAACCUCCUAGACAGAUCCGAAAGUCUUCUUUCGGGGGCAAGCUUCGGCAGCCGAAUGCUGCCUCCACAAGGGGGUUUGGCGGCCGAAACUCCCUUCGACGGCCGAACCUGGUUUCUGCCAGAAGGGCAGAAACUUGGUUCACAUGAACCCCUUGCCUCCCAAAACCUCAAAUCAUGCAUAAAUCUCAACCAAAACAUGCAUACAAGUUCCUAGGGGUCUCAAACAGUCAUAUACCCCAACUACAACACCUCAAACACACACAAUCAACACACAUUGUUCAAAACAUCAAUAUUAACCCAUAACUCAACAUAUAACCUAACAUGCAUUUCUACCCAUAGAUCUUGCAUAAAACUUAUUUAAAAAAACAUAAGGAGCUUAAGAUCGCCUCUUGAAGAUCGAGAGGGAGACGACCUAAACUUGGAGAUCCACGAAAAUGAGCUCCUGAGUUCCCAAAGCUCCAAAACUUGGUUUAAAUGCUCAAAACUUGCAAUGUGAGUUUAAAACUCAAGAAAAAUGGAAGAGAUUUGGAGGAAGAACACAAGAGUUGCAAAGGGAAGGUCGGAAGCUUGCUGUGGCCGAGAAUGGGAGAAAACUCGCCCAUUUCGACUAAGUGCCCCUUUUAUAGGUGGCUGGCCAGGCCACGUUCGGGGGCCGAAUGCGCUUCCGCAUCCAUGCAAUGUUCGACGGCCGAACUUGACUUUCGGCGGCCGAAACUGGACUUCCCUAACUCAUGCUUUCGGGGGCCUAACGUGCCUCCAAAACGGAUGCAUGUUCGGCGGCCGAACUUGACUUUCGGCGGCCGAACCUGGGUUUUCCUCCAAGGACUUUUCAUGCAAAAACUCAUUUAAUUUCAUACUUAAAAUCAUAAAACACAUUAAAACAUUUUUAUAAAACAUGAUUCUACCCUUCCAGAGGUCUCCGGCAUCCGAGAUUCCACCGGACGGUAGGAAUUCCGAUACCGGAGUCUAGCCGGGUAUUACACUUCUAGACAGUUGAAGAAGUACGAGUUGAAUUACCCUACCCAUGACCUCGAGAUGGCAGCAGUUAUCUUUGCACUUAAGAUGUGGCGGCAUUACUUCUACGGGGUUAAAUGCGAGAUCUUCACUGAUCACAGGAGUUUACAGUACAUCUUGAGUCAGAGAGAGCUGAAUUUGAGGCAGAGAAGAUGGGUAGAAUUGCUCUGUGAUUAUGAUUGUAAGAUCCAGUAUCAUCCGGGUAAGGCGAAUGUUGUAGCAGACGCCUUAAGCCGGAAGUCACUAGGCAGUUUAUCCCAUAUCGCAGUAGAGCGAAGACCAGUCGUAAUGGAGCUUUACAAGCUCUUAGAAGAGGGGUUACAGCUAGAGUUGUCUGGUACAGGUGCGUUGAUAGCACAGAUAAGAGUGACACCUGUGUUUCUGGAGCAGAUAGCUCAGAGACAGCACGAGGACCCAGCAUUGAUGAAAAUUGCCAGGUGACAGAGCGGUUGUCGAAGCCGGUCAAAAAUAACCUUUCUGGUUAUCAACAAUUUACAACUGUAGAUAGUGGUGAAAGGAUUGAAUCCACAGAGAAUUGAUUACCUAUUUAUUUUUCUCAACAAGACCAAUAAAAUAAACUGAAACAAUGAGAUAAAAACUGAAAGUGGGAUCAAAUGAGAUAAACUGGAAACAGAAUAAAAAUAAAUUGCAAAUAAAGUAAAAUGGGGGGGUUUUGAGAUUGAUUGUAGUAACUAAUAUUGAGAGUAAUAAUAGAAAGCAAAUAAUGAAAUAAAAAGUAAUUAAUGAUGAGAAAGCUCUAGUUGAAAUAUUGGAUCCACUUUAGUUGUUGGGGUUGAUCACAGACACUUUGCUCUUUUGGGUUGACCCAAUAGAUUAGUUAUGGAGAUGGAAGACGCUUCUCACCACCAUUAUCUCUCUUUAGGAAUAAAUUAAUUAGGGAACGUCCUCUAAUUAAUUACUAAUUAACAAAUUGCCAAGAAACGUCCUUGGACCUUAGGCAUCAAAACAAUUGUCAAUUGCAUUAAGAAAGAGAGAGACCCAAUCCUAGCUACCCAAACGUAUGGAGAUAACGCUAGAUCAUGCAAUUUCCUUGGGUUCUAUCCCAAGUGUCCUCAUGUAAGAAUAACCCAAGCAAUUACGGACUUAAAUUAUUCAAACUAACAAAUAAUUAUUUUGCAAUAAAAAAUCAACGUAGAUUUCAAUAACAAAAUAAUAUGAGAAUUAAAUACGAAAUUGCAUGAAUAUUGAAUUUCCAAAAAUUGAAUAAUAUUUGAUCAAGU